CACUCCUGCGGGAGGCAGCAGUGGGGAAUUUUGGACAAUGGGCGAAAGCCUGAUCCAGCAAUGCCGCGUGAGUGAAGAAGGCCUUCGGGUUGUAAAGCUCUUUUGUCAGGGAAGAAACGGUGAGAGCUAAUAUCUCUUGCUAAUGACGGUACCUGAAGAAUAAGCACCGGCUAACUACGUGCCAGCAGCCGCGGUAAUACGUAGGGUGCAAGCGUUAAUCGGAAUUACUGGGCGUAAAGCGUGCGCAGGCGGUUUUGUAAGUCUGAUGUGAAAUCCCCGGGCUCAACCUGGGAAUUGCAUUGGAGACUGCAAGGCUAGAAUCUGGCAGAGGGGGGUAGAAUUCCACGUGUAGCAGUGAAAUGCGUAGAUAUGUGGAGGAACACCGAUGGCGAAGGCAGCCCCCUGGGUCAAGAUUGACGCUCAUGCACGAAAGCGUGGGGAGCAAACAGGAUUAGAUACCCUGGUAGUCCCAU
rnacentral:rRNA from 1 species